GAUGAACGCUAGCUACAGGCUUAACACAUGCAAGUCGAGUGACCGGCGCACGGGUGAGUAACACGUAUCCAACCUGCCCUUUACUCGGGGCUAUCCUUUCGAAAGAAAGAUUAAUACCCGAUUUAAAGUAUGGGGAUGCGUUCCAUUAUGUUGUUGGUGCGGUAACGGCUCACCAAGCCUUCGAUGGAUAGGGGUUCUGAGAGGAAGGUCCCACACAUUGGAACUGAGACACGGUCCAAACUCCUACGGGAGGAAGAAGUGAGGAAUAUUGGUCAAUGGGCGUUAGCCUGAAACAGCCAAGUAGCGUGAAGGAUGAAGGAUUAUGGGUCGUAAACUUCUUUUAUAUAAGAAUAGGUAUUAUAUGAAUAAGGAUCGGCUGACUACGUGCCAGCAGCCGCGGUAAUAC
rnacentral:rRNA from 1 species